AUGGCCAUCUCACUCAGCUCGGAGCUCCUCUCCCUGUCCCAACAAUGGCAGCUCCUCCUUGUGGCACUCGCCUCCCUCGUGCUCUUCACGAGAAGACUGAGCAACAAAGGGCUCAGACUACCGCCCGGCCCAGCCCAGGCUCCAAUCCUGGGGAACCUACACCAGCUAGGCUUGCUACCACACCAGAGCCUACGGGAUCUGGCAAGGCAGCAUGGGCCGGUGAUGCAGCUGCAGCUCGGCACCGUGCCAACAGUGGUGGUGUCGUCAGCUGAGGCGGCGCGGGAGGUGAUGAAAACGCACGAUGAGGACUGCUGCACCCGGCCUGUGUCCCCAGGGAUGAAGCGGCUGUCCUACGGCCUCAACAAUGUCGGGUUCGCCCCGUACGGUCCCUACUGGAGCAUGAUGCGCAAGUUCCUUCUGGUCGAACUCUUCGGCGUGCGCCAUGUCAAGGCCGCAUGGCACGCACGCCAGUAUCAGGUGGACAAACUAACGAGCACCUUGAGCGGCUUGGCCGGAGAGCCGGUAGCACUGAAGGAGCACAUCUUCAGGCUGGCCGACGGCCUCAUCGGUAUGCUGGGGUUUGGCGAUAUGUACAACAGCGACAAGUUCCCACACCACAAGAACUUGGAGCACGUGCUGGAGGAGGCCACACACGCGCAGGCCAGCUUUUCCGCCGAGGACUACUUUCCCAACAUCAUCGGCCGCCUAGUCGACCAAAUCACUGGCCUCGCCGCUCGCCGCGAGCGGAUCUUCAAGAAGCUUGAUACCUUCUUCGAGAUCAUCAUUGAGCAACAUCUUGACCCUCAGCGUGUCAAGCCUCAGAAUGGUGACCUCGUCGACCGCCUCAUCAGUCUCUGGAAGGACAAUAGUGGCACCCUCAGCAUCACGAGAGACCACGUCAAGGGCAUCAUCUUUGGCACGUUCAUUGGUGGCUCGGACACGGCCUCGGUGACAAUCCUAUGGGCGAUGGCGGAGCUAAUCCGGAAGCCGCUGCUGCUGAAGAAGGCGCAAGAUGAGAUCAGGUCCGUGGUGGGCGGCAACGAGAGGGUGCAACCGGAUGACCUAGUAAAGCUAGGCUACCUCAAGAUGGUGGUGAAGGAGACCCUACGGCUGCAUCCGCCAGCGACCAUGCUGCUGCCGAGGGAGGCCAUGCGGGAUAUCCAGAUUGGUGGCUAUGACGUGCCCACCAAGACGCGAAUCUAUGUGAAUGCGUGGGCCAUUGGCAGGGACCCAACAAGCUGGCCUGAUGACCCGGAGGAGUUCAAGCCAGAGAGGUUUGAGAUGAGCGAGAUAGACUUCAAAGGCGCGCAUUUCGAGCUAACUCCAUUUGGUGCAGGGCGGCGGAUAUGCCCUGCGCUGUCUAUGAGCACGGCUACCGUGGAGUUCACGCUGGCCAACCUGCUGUACUGUUUUGACUGGGCGCUCCCCAAGGGGGGCGUAGUGAGCAUGGAGGAGGAAGGCAAGCUUAUCCCCCUCCUCAAGACCCCGCUCGUGCUGGUGCCCACCCCCUACCGGAACAUGUAG
rnacentral:rRNA from 1 species